UACAUGGGGUGCAAACGUUGCUCGGAAUUAUUGGGCGUAAAGCGCGCGUAGGCGGUUACUUAAGUCGGAUGUGAAAGCCCUCGGCUUAACUGAGGAAGUGCACCCGAAACUGAGUAGCUAGAGUACGAAAGAGGGUCGCGGAAUUCCCGGUGUAGAGGUGAAAUUCGUAGAUAUUCGCAAGAACACCAGUGGCGAAGGCGGCUCACUGGCCCGGUACUGACGCUGAGGUGCGAAAGCGUGGGGAGCGAACAGG
rnacentral:rRNA from 1 species